rnacentral:rRNA from 1 species
GACGAACCGUGCGAACGUUGUUCGGAAUUACUGGGCGUAAAGGGCUCGUAGGUGGUCAACUAAGUCAUACGUGAAAUCCCUCGGCUUAACCGGGGAACUGCGCCUGAUACUGGUUGACUUGAGUUUGGGAGAGGGAUGCGGAAUUCCAGGUGUAGCGGUGAAAUGCGUAGAUAUCUGGAGGAACACCGGUGGCGAAGGCGGCAUCCUGGACCAACACUGACACUGAGGAGCGAAAGCCAGGGGAGCAAACGGG